GCCUCGUUAGCUUAGUUGGUAGUGCGUCUGCCUUGUAAGCGCUAGGCCGCGGGUUCGAUUCCCGCCCGGGGCG
rnacentral:tRNA from 1 species